rnacentral:rRNA from 1 species
GACGAACGCUGGCGGCGUGCUUAACACAUGCAAGUCGAACGGAAAGGCCCUGCUUUUGUGGGGUGCUCGAGUGGCGAACGGGUGAGUAACACGUGAGUAACCUGCCCUUGACUUUGGGAUAACUUCAGGAAACUGGGGCUAAUACCGGAUAGGAGCUCCUGCUGCAUGGUGGGGGUUGGAAAGUUUCGGCGGUUGGGGAUGGACUCGCGGCUUAUCAGCUUGUUGGUGGGGUAGUGGCUUACCAAGGCUUUGACGGGUAGCCGACCUGAGAGGGUGACCGGCCACAUUGGGACUGAGAUACGGCCCAGACUCCUACGGGAGGCAGCAGUGGGGAAUAUUGCACAAUGGGCGGAAGCCUGAUGCAGCAACGCCGCGUGCAGGAUGACGGCCUUCGGGUUGUAAACCGCUUUCGCCUGUGACGAAGCGUGAGUGACGGUAAUGGGUAAAGAAGCACCGGCUAACUACGUG